ACGCAGGUCUCCACAACUGACACAAACCGUGCAACUUGAAACUCCGCCUGGUCUUUCCAGGUCUAGAGGGGUGACACUUUGUACUGUGCUUGACUCCACGCUCGGUCCACUAGCGAGUGUUAGUAACAGCACUGUUGCUUCGUAGCGGAGCAUGGUGGCCGUGGGAACCCCUCCUUGGCGACAAGGACCCACGGGGCCGAAAGCCACGUCCUUGUGGACCCACCAUGUGUGCAACCCCAGCACGGCAGCUCUACUGUGAAAACCACUUUAAGGUGACACUGAUACUGGUACUCAGACACUGGUGACAGGCUAAGGAUGCCCUUCAGGUACCCCGAGGUAACACGCGACACUCGGGAUCUGAGAAGGGGACUGAGACUUCUUUAAAAGUGCCCAGUUUAAAAAGCUUCUAUGCCUGAAUAGGCGACCGGAGGCCGGCGCCUUUCUCCUUAACUACCACUUCUUA
rnacentral:other from 1 species